AACGCACAUUGCGCCCGCCAGCACUCUGGCGGGCAUGCCUGUCCGAGCGUCACUUCAACCCUCGAGGCCCGUCCUCCCCCCCUCCGCCCCACGUCCCCAGCGGCCGUGGGCGGGCGGCGGGGGGGGCCGGGCCCGGUGUUGGGGGACGGCCCAGCGCCGCCCCCGAAAUGCAGUGGCGAACCCGCCGCGGCCUCCCCUGCGCAGUAAGCACACGCCCUCGCACCGGAGCCCGGACGGGUUCACGCCGUAAAACGCCCCGACCCCCCAGCGAGUUGACCUCGGAUCAGGUAGGAGUACCCGCUGAACUUAA
rnacentral:misc_RNA from 1 species